rnacentral:rRNA from 1 species
UGGCGAACGGGUGAGUAACACGUGGGCAACCUGCCCAAAANAGGGGGAUAACACUUGGAAACAGGUGCUAAUACCGCAUAACCAUAGUUACCGCAUGGUAACUAUGUAAAAGGUGGCUAUGCUACCGCUUUUGGAUGGGCCCGCGGCGCAUUAGCUAGUUGGUGGGGUAAAGGCUUACCAAGGCAAUGAUGCGUAGCCGAACUGAGAGGUUGAUCGGCCACAUUGGGACUGAGACACGGCCCAAACUCCUACGGAAGGCAGCAG